rnacentral:rRNA from 1 species
AUUGAACGCUAGCGGGAUGCCUUACACAUGCAAGUCGAACGGCAGCACGGACUUCGGUCUGGUGGCGAGUGGCGAACGGGUGAGUAAUGUAUCGGAACGUGCCUAGUAGCGGGGGAUAACUACGCGAAAGCGUAGCUAAUACCGCAUACGCCCUACGGGGGAAAGCAGGGGAUCGCAAGACCUUGCACUAUUAGAGCGGCCGAUAUCGGAUUAGAGAGUUGGUGGGGUAACGGCUCACCAAGGCGACGAUCCGUAGCUGGUUUGAGAGGACGACCAGCCACACUGGGACUGAGACACGGCCCAGACUCCUACGGGAGGCAGCAGUGGGGAAGUUUGGACAAUGGGGGAAACCCUGAUCCAGCCAUCCCGCGUGUGCGAUGAAGGCCUUCGGGUUGUAAAGCACUUUUGGCAGGAAAGAAACGUCGCGGGUUAAUACCCCGCGGAACUGACGGUACCUGCAGAAUAAGCACCGGCUAACUACGUGCCAGCCGCCGCCGUAAUAC